UACGUAGGGGGCAAGCGUUGUCCGGAUUUAUUGGGCGUAAAGAGCGUGUAGGCGGUUUGGUAGGUCCGUUGUGAAAACUCGAGGCUCAACCUCGAGACGCCGAUGGAAACCAUCAGACUAGAGUCCGGAAGAGGAGAGUGGAAUUCCUGGUGUAGCGGUGAAAUGCGCAGAUAUCAGGAGGAACACCAACAGCGAAGGCAGAUCUCUGGGACGUUACUGACGCUGAGACGCGAAAGCGUGGGGAGCAAACAGG
rnacentral:rRNA from 1 species